UACGGAGGGGGCUAGCGUUGUCCGAAGUUACUGGGCGUAAAGCGCGCGUAGGCGGGUUGGUAAGUCCGCUGUGAAAGCCCGGAGCUCAACUCCGGAGGGUCGGUGGAUACUGCCAGUCUUGAAGGUGCUAGGGGAGAUGGAAUACCGGUGUAGCGGUGAAAUGCGUAGAUAUCGGUAGGAACACCAGUGGCGAAGGCGGUCUCCUGGGGCAUUCUUGACGCUGAGGCGCGAAAGCUGGGGGAGCAAACGGG
rnacentral:rRNA from 1 species